rnacentral:rRNA from 1 species
AGAGUUUGAUCAUGGCUCAGAGCGAACGCUGGCGGCAUGCUUAACACAUGCAAGUCGCACGGCCGGGGUAACCCGGCAGUGGCGGACGGGUGAGUAACGCGUAGGUAUCUAUCUCCGGGUGGGGGACAACCAUGGGAAACUAUGGCUAAUACCGCAUGAUGCCCGAGGGCCAAAGCAGCAAUGCGCCUGGAGAGGAGCCUGCGUACGAUUAGCUUGUUGGCGGGGUAAUGGCCCACCAAGGCGACGAUCGUUAGCUGGUCUGAGAGGAUGAUCAGCCACACUGGGACUGAGACACGGCCCAGACUCCUACGGGAGGCAGCAGUGGGGAAUAUUGGACAAUGGGCGCAAGCCUGAUCCAGCAAUGCCGCGUGAGUGAAGAAGGUCUUCGGAUUGUAAAGCUCUUUCGACGGGGACGAUGAUGACGGUACCCGUAGAAGAAGCCCCGGCUAACUUCGUGCCAGCAGCCGCGGUAAUACGAAGGGGGCUAGCGUUGCUCGGAAUGACUGGGCGUAAAGGGCGCGUAGGCGGUGUACACAGUCAGGCGUGAAAUUCCCGGGCUCAACCUGGGGGCUGCGCUUGAUACAUGUGCGCUUGAGUUCGGAAGAGGGUCGUGGAAUUCCCAGUGUAGAGGUGAAAUUCGUAGAUAUUGGGAAGAACACCGGUGGCGAAGGCGGCGACCUGGUCCGAUACUGACGCUGAGGCGCGAAAGCGUGGGGAGCAAACAGGAUUAGAUACCCUAGUAGUCC